rnacentral:lncRNA from 1 species
AUGAACUCUGCAAUGCCAGUGAAGAAAUUUCAAAGUUGCAAAAGGUAUUAGAUAGCAAGAAGAUCGUUGCCGCUCUCAAGGAUGUACAACAGUGAGGUAUCUAAGUGACUGCUCCCAUCACCAACGUCAGCUCAAAAGAGUCUCUUCCGAUCACCCAUGGCGAAAGAUCUCGAUCAAAAGAGCGAGAACCAAAAGGUCGAUUUUCGAUGGG